UACGUAGGGUGCAAGCGUUGUCCGGAAUUAUUGGGCGUAAAGAGCUCGUAGGCGGUUUGUCGCGUCGGCUGUGAAAACUCGGGGCUCAACCCCGAGCCUGCAGUCGAUACGGGCAGACUUGAGUGCGGUAGGGGAGACUGGAAUUCCUGGUGUAGCGGUGAAAUGCGCAGAUAUCAGGAGGAACACCGGCGGCGAAAGCGGCUUCCUGGUCCAGCACCGACGUUCAGGCACGAAAGCGUGGGGAGCAAACAGG
rnacentral:rRNA from 1 species